GCAUAUCAAUAAGCGGAGGAAAAGAAACUAACAAGGAUUCCCCUAGUAACUGCGAGUGAAGCGGGAAAAGCUCAAAUUUAAAAUCUGGCGGUCUUUGGCUGUCCGAGUUGUAAUCUAGAGAAGUGUUAUCCGCGCUGGACCGUGUACAAGUCUCCUGGAAUGGAGCGUCAUAGAGGGUGAGAAUCCCGUCUUUGACACGGACUGCCAGGGCUUUUGUGAUGCGCUCUCAAAGAGUCGAGUUGUUUGGGAAUGCAGCUCAAAAUGGGUGGUAAAUUCCAUCUAAAGCUAAAUAUUGGCGAGAGACCGAUAGCGAACAAGUACCGUGAGGGAAAGAUGAAAAGAACUUUGGAAAGAGAGUUAAACAGUACGUGAAAUUGCUGAAAGGGAAACGCUUGAAGUCAGUCGCGUUGUCCGGGGAUCAACCUUGCUUUUGCUGGGUGUACUUUCCGGUUGACGGGUCAGCAUCAAUUUUGACCGCUGGAUAAAGGUUUUGGGAAAGUGGCUUCCUCGGAAGUGUUAUAGCCCAGGGUCGCAUACAACGGUUGGGAUUGAGGAACUCAGCACGCCGAAAGGCCGGGUACUUGUACCACGUUCGUGCUUAGGAUGCUGGCAUAAUGGCUUUAAUCGACCCGUCUUGAAACACGGACCAAGGAGUCUAACAUGCCUGCGAGUGUUUGGGUGGAAAACCCGAGCGCGUAAUGAAAGUGAAAGUUGAGAUCCCUGUCGCGGGGAGCAUCGACGCCCGGACCAGACCUUUUGUGACGGAUCCGCGGUAGAGCAUGUAUGUUGGGACCCGAAAGAUGGUGAACUAUGCCUGAAUAGGGUGAAGCCAGAGGAAACUCUGGUGGAGGCUCGUAGCGAUUCUGACGUGCAAAUCGAUCGUCAAAUUUUGGGGUAUAGGGGCGAAAGACUAAUCGAACCAUCUAGUAGCUGGUUCCUGCCCGA
rnacentral:rRNA from 1 species